AGAUUAAACCAUUAAAUUAUGUCUUGAAAUCAUAAUAAAAGGGAGUAAGACCCUUAUUAAUCUUC
rnacentral:tRNA from 1 species